UACGUAGGGUGCAAGCGUUGUCCGGAAUUAUUGGGCGUAAAGAGCGCGUAGGCGGUCCGGUAAGUCCGCUCUGAAAGUCCGGGGCUCAACCCCGGGAGGCGGGCGGAUACUGCCGGGCUAGAGUCCGGAAGAGGCGAGUGGAAUUCCUGGUGUAGCGGUGAAAUGCGCAGAUAUCAGGAGGAACACCGAUUGCGAAGGCAGCUCGCUGGGACGUAACUG
rnacentral:rRNA from 1 species